rnacentral:rRNA from 1 species
GACGAGGGGUCCAAGCGUUGUUCGGAAUCACUGGGCAUAAAGCGCACGUAGGCGGUGUCGUAAGUCGGGUGUGAAAUCCCUCGGCCUAACCGAGGAACUGCGCCCGAUACUGCGAUGCUUGAGGACCAGAGGGGUGCAUGGAAUUUCCGGUGGAGCGGUGAAAUGCGUUGAUAUCGGAAGGAACUCCGGCGGCGAAAGCGAUGCACUGGCUGGUUUCUGACGCUGAGGUGCGAAAGCCAGGGGAGCAAACGGG